rnacentral:rRNA from 1 species
GACGAACGCUGGCGGCGUGCUUAACACAUGCAAGUCGAACGGAAAGGCCCUGCUUUUGUGGGGUGCUCGAGUGGCGAACGGGUGAGUAACACGUGAGUAACCUGCCCUUGACUUUGGGAUAACUUCAGGAAACUGGGGCUAAUACCGGAUAGGAGCUCCUGCUGCAUGGUGGGGGUUGGAAAGUUUCGGCGGUUGGGGAUGGACUCGCGGCUUAUCAGCUUGUUGGUGGGGUAGUGGCUUACCAAGGCUUUGACGGGUAGCCGGCCUGAGAGGGUGACCGGCCACAUUGGGACUGAGAUACGGCCCAGACUCCUACGGGAGGCAGCAGUGGGGAAUAUUGCACAAUGGGCGGAAGCCUGAUGUAGCAACGCCGCGUGCGGGAUGACGGCCUUCGGGUUGUAAACCGCUUUCGCCUGUGACGAAGCGUGAGUGACGGUAAUGGGUAAAGAAGCACCGGCUAACUACGUGCCAGCAGCCGCGGUGAUACGUAGGGUGCGAGCGUUGUCCGGAUUUAUUGGGCGUAAAGGGCUCGUAGGUGGUUGAUCGCGUCGGAAGUGUAAUCUUGGGGCUUAACCCUGAGCGUGCUUUCGAUACGGGUUGACUUGAGGAAGGUAGGGGAGAAUGGAAUUCCUGGUGGAGCGGUGGAAUGCGCAGAUAUCAGGAGGAACACCAGUGGCGAAGGCGGUUCUCUGGGCCUUUCCUGACGCUGAGGAGCGAAAGCGUGGGGAGCGAACAGGCUUAGAUACCCUGGUAGUCCACGCUGUAAACGGUGGGUACUAGGUGUGGGGUCCAUUCCACGGGUUCCGUGCCGUAGCUAACGCUUUAAGUACCCCGCCUGGGGAGUACGGCCGCAAGGCUAAAACUCAAAGGAAUUGACGGGGCCCCGCACAAGCGGCGGAGCAUGCGGAUUAAUUCGAUGCAACGCGUAGAACCUUACCUGGGUUUGACAUGGAUCGGGAGCGCUCAGAGAUGGGUGUGCCUCUUUUGGGGUCGGUUCACAGGUGGUGCAUGGCUGUCGUCAGCUCGUGUCGUGAGAUGUUGGGUUAAGUCCCGCAACGAGCGCAACCCUUGUUCACUGUUGCCAGCACGUUAUGGUGGGGACUCAGUGGAGACCGCCGGGGUCAACUCGGAGGAAGGUGGGGAUGACGUCAAGUCACCAUGCCCCUUAUGUCCAGGGCUUCACGCAUGCUACAAUGGCUGGUACAGAGAGUGGCGAGCCUGUGAGGGUGAGCGAAUCUCGGAAAGCCGGUCUCAGUUCGGAUUGGGGUCUGCAACUCGACCUCAUGAAGUCGGAGUCGCUAGUAAUCGCAGAUCAGCAACGCUGCGGUGAAUACGUUCCCGGGGCU